rnacentral:rRNA from 1 species
GUCUUUUUGAUUUUAUUUAAAGUCUGGUCUGCUCACUGAUAUUUUAAAUAGCCGCGGUAUAUUGACCGUGCGAAGGUAGCAUAAUAAUUAGUUUCUUUAUUGGGAUCUGGAAUGAAUGAUUAGACGAGAAAAGUACUGUCUCUUUUUAAUUUGGUUGAAUUUUACUUUUGAGUUAAAAGGCUUAAUUAAUUUUAAAAGACGAGAAGACCCUAUAGAGUUUAAUUAAUUUUGUAUUACUUUAUUUUGGUAAUUUAUUUUUUAAUUUUUAUAUUAAUUUUGUUGGGGUGACUGUAAAAAUUAUGUAACUUUUAUUUUAUUAUAACAUUUAUUUAUGAUUAUUUGAUCCAUUUAUAUGAUUGAAAGAAAAAUUACCUUA